UCAGAGUGUCUGGGGUGGGAGCUGGGAUCAGUGAUUUUUAGGCCACUCUGAUGGCAGGUGCUGCUGGGUUGCUGGGCUCCCCACUGGGUAUUUUCACAAGUACUCUCUGACAUGGGUGGGGACGCUAAGCCCUGUGGUUGGGUGGGGGGGGCACUCAGGCCUCUACCCUCCCCACCGCCCCAGCUCCGCGGCCCCAAGGCUUAGAGGGUUGGCCUGUUGGGCUGUGUCUCUGUCUAGCUUCUCAAAGCCUGGUCCGGCUGGAGGGAAACGGCACCACGGGUCACACAGUGAAGCUGUCCCUGUCCUGGGGCCCAAGCUGUCUCCAGGCCUCUGUGGCCCAUGGGGAAGGAAUCAGCGAAGAGAGUGUGGUGCUGAGGGCCUGUGCCCACAGGCAGAUAGCCGAGGCGGAGGUCCUGUUCCAGGACCGUGGGCAGCCUGCCCAGCACCUGGGACGCUGACCCUGCAGGCUGCCAACCAGAGCCGCCUCCUGGCCGCACGCGGCUGCCGGGCCACCCUGCUGGGCCAUGUGGAGGGCCCUGAGGGAGCCCCACUGGUUCCCGUCCCCACAGUCCAGGAUUGCAGCAAUGGGGUCCCAGGUGCAAGCC